CCCGGGUAUGCCAGAUCCGCCACAAAUAUAGGGAGUCCACUGUUCACACGGACAGAGUCUGUUCUGUAUUUGUACGGCGUCGCACAAGUACAAGAUACAACAACACACAUAUAAAUAUCCAUAUAUAUUCACCAUUCGCAUCCACAUCCAAUUCAUCACAAUAUUCAUAUAUCCACUUCUAUUAGUUUAAAAUGUUUCUUAUCCGGAAACUCAUUUUGAAACACUAAGCCAUGAAAACCAAGAAAUACUUUUUUAAAACUGUUUCCCACCCAAAAACCUUUUUCUUUUAAAAACGCACUACCACGAAGGAUAGAAAACCAUUUCUAUUUCGUAAGAAAUCCAUAAAUCCUUUAUUACAUUCACAAAAUCCCAAUUAUUCAAAUAAAGGAAACCGCUGAAUAAAU
rnacentral:lncRNA from 1 species